rnacentral:lncRNA from 1 species
GAUCCUCUCUGUUGUGAUUCAUCCCCCCGGGGCCCUACAGUUUCUCCUUCCUGACUCUUACAUUUCUUUGGAUGGCAUCAUUAUUAAGCCUGUGGCUGGCUGACAGCAGAGAGAGAUGCUCAACUUGGAGAAGGUGUUACCUGGGCCAGGUGGGGAAGGUUUGUUUGCAGAGCAAAGAAGUGAAGCCUAUUCAACGUGAAAAAGAUGAGGAUGAAGACCUUUAUUAUGAUCCACUUCCAAGUAAUGAACACACUGGAGAAAGUCAGACAGUCAAAACAAUGUCCCAGACUCCGUGAAGUUCCUGGGUAGAGAAGGAGACAGACAUAUACCAUACCUAAUAAUUGGAUGUCCGAGAGAAUGAGAGAAUGGCAGAAAGAACUUUAGAGCAUGGGUAUGAUGGCUAGAGCUUGAGCAGCCAUUGUGGACAUCAGAUGAACUUGAAAGUGAAAACUAUGAGCUGAAUACGACAAAGCAAACAGAUAGAAAACUGGAUUCAUUAUGACAUUGCAAAGCUGCCAGACCAGCUCUAGUCUGCUUCCCCCUAAUCUUCCUUACUAAGAGAGAGAAAUAAACUUCCAUCUUCUUCAAGCCA